UAAGCCCGCUUGACUGCGAGAAUGACAAUUCGAGCAGGUGCGAAAGCAGGUCAUAGUGAUCCGGUGGUUCUGAAUGGAAGGGCCAUCGCUCAACGGAUAAAAGGUACUCCGGGGAUAACAGGCUGAUACCGCCCAAGAGUUCAUAUCGACGGCGGUGUUUGGCACCUCGAUGUCGGCUCAUCACAUCCUGGGGCUGAAGUCGGUCCCAAGGGUAUGGCUGUUCGCCAUUUAAAGUGGUACGCGAGCUGGGUUUAGAACGUCGUGAGACAGUUCGGUCCCUAUCUGCCGUGGGCGUUGGAAGAUUGAAGGGGGCUGCUCCUAGUACGAGAGGACCGGAGUGGACGAACCUCUGGUGUUCGGGUUGUGUCGCCAGACGCAUUGCCCGGUAGCUAAGUUCGGAAUCGAUAACCGCUGAAAGCAUCUAAGCGGGAAGCGAGCCCUGAGAUGAGUCUUCCCUGAUACUUUAAGUAUCCUAAAGGGUUGUCGGAGACUACGACGUUGAUAGGUCAGGUGUGUAAGUGCUGUGAGGCAUUGAGCUAACUGAUACUAAUUGCCCGUGAG
rnacentral:rRNA from 1 species